rnacentral:sRNA from 1 species
UCCUAAACCCGACAGUAGCGGCAGCCUCCGAUUUUUCAUCGGAGCUAUAGCGCAUGGCAGGACUGCAG